rnacentral:rRNA from 1 species
AUUGAACGCUGGCGGCAUGCCUUACACAUGCAAGUCGAACGGCAGCACGGGAGCAAUCCUGGUGGCGAGUGGCGAACGGGUGAGUAAUACAUCGGAACGUGCCCAGUAGUGGGGGAUAGCCCGGCGAAAGCCGGAUUAAUACCGCAUACGACCUAUGGGUGAAAGCGGGGGAUCGCAAGACCUCGCGCUAUUGGAGCGGCCGAUGUCAGAUUAGCUUGUUGGUGGGGUAAAAGCCCACCAAGGCGACGAUCUGUAGCUGGUCUGAGAGGACGACCAGCCACACUGGGACUGAGACACGGCCCAGACUCCUACGGGAGGCAGCAGUGGGGAAUUUUGGACAAUGGGCGCAAGCCUGAUCCAGCCAUGCCGCGUGUGGGAAGAAGGCCUUCGGGUUGUAAACCACUUUUGUCAGGGAAGAAAUGGUUCAAUCUAAUACAUUGAACUAAUGACGGUACCUGAAGAAUAAGCACCGGCUAACUCCGUG